CAGCAGCCACGGGAAUACGUAGGAGGCAAGCGUUGUCCGGAAUUACUGGGCGUAAAGCGCGCGCAGGCGGUUUUUUAAGCCUGGUGUCUAAAUGCGGGGCUCAACCCCGUGACGCACUGGAAACUGGGAGACUUGAGUGCAGAAGAGGAGAGCGGAAUUCCACGUGUAGCGGUGAAAUGCGUAGAGAUCGGGAGGAACAUCAGUGGCGAAGGCGGCCAUCUGGGACAACACUGACGCUGAGGUACGAAAGCGUGGGGAGCAAACAGGAUUAGAUACCCGCGUAGUCCCUGUCUCUUAUACA
rnacentral:rRNA from 1 species